rnacentral:tRNA from 1 species
GGCCUGUAGCUCAGUGGUAGUGCAUGAACUUAGCAUGCAUGAGGCUCUGGGUUCAAUCCCCAGCACCA